rnacentral:rRNA from 1 species
ACAGCAGCCGCCACGGGAAUACAGAGGGUGCGAGCGUUAAUCGGAUUUACUGGGCGUAAAGCGUGCGUAGGCGGCUUUUUAAGUCGGAUGUGAAAUCCCUGAGCUUAACUUAGGAAUUGCAUUCGAUACUGGGAAGCUAGAGUAUGGGAGAGGAUGGUAGAAUUCCAGGUGUAGCGGUGAAAUGCGUAGAGAUCUGGAGGAAUACCGAUGGCGAAGGCAGCCAUCUGGCCUAAUACUGACGCUGAGGUACGAAAGCAUGGGGAGCAAACAGGAUUAGAUACCCCCGUAGUCCCUGUCUCUUAUAC